rnacentral:rRNA from 1 species
UAGUCCACGCCGUAAACGAUGGAUGCUAGCCGUCGGCAAGCUUGCUUGUCGGUGGCGCAGCUAACGCAUUAAGCAUCCCGCCUGGGGAGUACGGCCGCAAGGUUAAAACUCAAAGGAAUUGACGGGGGCCCGCACAAGCGGUGGAGCAUGUGGUUUAAUUCGACGCAACGCGAAGAACCUUACCAGCUCCUGACAUGUCAGGUCGGUUUCCAGAGAUGGAUUCCUCCCAGCAAUGGGUCUGAACAC